UUGUCGUCAGCUCGUGUCGUGAGAUGUUGGGUUAAGUCCGCAACGAGCGCAACCCUUGUCAUUAGUUGCUACAUUCAGUUGGGCACUCUAAUGAGACUGCCGGUGACAAACCGGAGGAAGGUGGGGAUGACGUCAAGUCCUCAUGGCCCUUAUAGGUGGGGCUACACACGUCAUACAAUGGAUGGUACAAAGGGUCGCCAACCCGCGAGGGGGAGCCAAUCCCAUAAAGCCAUUCGUAGUCCGGAUCGCAGUCUGCAACUCGACUGCGUGAAGUCGGAAUCGCUAGUAAUCGUGGAUCAGCACGUCGCGGUGAAUACGUUCCCGGGUCCUU
rnacentral:rRNA from 1 species